rnacentral:rRNA from 1 species
GGGGAAUAUUGCGCAAUGGGGGAAACCCUGACGCAGCAACGCCGCGUGAAGGAAGAAGGUCUUCGGAUUGUAAACUUCUUUGAUUGGGGACGAUAAUGACGGUACCCAAGGAACAAGCCACGGCUAACUACGUGCCAGCAGCCGCGGUAAUACGUAGGUGGCAAGCGUUGUCCGGAAUUACUGGGUGUAAAGGGCGUGUAGGCGGGGAAGCAAGUCAGAUGUGAAAUUCCGGGGCUCAACCCCGGCGCUGCAUCUGAAACUGUUUCUCUUGAGUGCUGGAGAGGAAAGCGGAAUUCCUAGUGUAGCGGUGAAAUGCGUAGAUAUUAGGAGGAACACCAGUGGCGAAGGCGGCUUUCUGGACAGUAACUGACGCUGAGGCGCGAAAGCGUGGGGAGCGAAC